rnacentral:rRNA from 1 species
UGGCGGACGGGUGAGUAACGCGUGGGUAACCUGCCUCAUACAGGGGGAUAACAGUUAGAAAUGACUGCUAAUACCGCAUAAGACCACGGAGCCGCAUAGCUCAGUGGGAAAAACUCCGGUGGUAUGAGAUGGACCCGCGUCUGAUUAGGUAGUUGGUGGGGUAACGGCCUACCAAGCCAACGAUCAGUAGCCGACCUGAGAGGGUGACCGGCCACAUUGGGACUGAGACACGGCCCAG